UACAGAGGUCCCGAGCGUUGUUCGGAUUCAUUGGGCGUAAAGGGUGCGUAGGCGGCCUGCUAAGUCGAACGUGAAAUCCCUCGGCUCAACCGGGGAACUGCGUCUGAUACUGGGUGGCUUGAAUCCGGGAGAGGGAUGCGGAAUUCCAGGUGUAGCGGUGAAAUGCGUAGAUAUCAGGAGGAACACCGGUGGCGAAGGCGGGUCUCUGGACAGUUCCUGACGCUGAGGCACGAAGGCCAGGGGAGCAAACGGG
rnacentral:rRNA from 1 species